GUGGCCUAGUGGUUAGAGCAUUCGCCUUGGAUGUGGGGGGUCAUGGGUUCAAUCCCCGGUCGAAUCA